GACGAACGCUGGCGGCGUGCUUAACACAUGCAAGUCGAACGGAAAGGCCCUGCUUUUGUGGGGUGCUCGAGUGGCGAACGGGUGAGUAACACGUGAGUAACCUGCCCUUGACUUUGGGAUAACUUCAGGAAACUGGGGCUAAUACCGGAUAGGAGCUCCUGCUGCAUGGUGGGGGUUGGAAAGUUUCGGCGGUUGGGGAUGGACUCGCGGCUUAUCAGCUUGUUGGUGGGGUAGUGGCUUACCAAGGCUUUGACGGGUAGCCGGCCUGAGAGGGUGACCGGCCACAUUGGGACUGAGAUACGGCCCAGACUCCUACGGGAGGCAGCAGCGGGGAAUAUUGCACAAUGGGCGGAAGCCUGAUGCAGCAACGCCGCGUGCGGGAUGACGGCCUUCGGGUUGUAAACCGCUUUCGCCUGUGGCGAAGCGUGAGUGACGGUAAUGGGUAAAGAAGCACCGGCUAACUACGUG
rnacentral:rRNA from 1 species